AAAUUCAGAAAAUCAGACUUGCCAGAAUUACUGAGGUCAGAGUGUACCAACGAGGCAUCCUGGAUCUUCUGCUCUCACGGGUCAUCAAAUUGAGAAGAACCAUACUAAAGGACCUACCCCCAAGGAAUGACACAUCAGGCAAAGAGUGAGAGUUCCUGUUGCUCCACAUCCUCGCCAGCGUUCCGUGUUGUCAGUGUUUUGGAGACUGGCCA